rnacentral:rRNA from 1 species
GACGAACGCUGGCGGCGUGCCUAAUACAUGCAAGUCGAACGCUUCUUUCCUCCCGAGUGCUUGCACUCAAUUGGAAAGAGGAGUGGCGGACGGGUGAGUAACACGUGGGUAACCUACCCAUCAGAGGGGGAUAACACUUGGAAACAGGUGCUAAUACCGCAUAACAGUUUAUGCCGCAUGGCAUAAGAGUGAAAGGCGCUUUCGGGUGUCGCUGAUGGAUGGACCCGCGGUGCAUUAGCUAGUUGGUGAGGUAACGGCUCACCAAGGCCACGAUGCAUAGCCGACCUGAGAGGGUGAUCGGCCACACUGGGACUGAGACACGGCCCAGACUCCUACGGGAGGCAGCAGUAGGGAAUCUUCGGCAAUGGACGAAAGUCUGACCGAGCAACGCCGCGUGAGUGAAGAAGGUUUUCGGAUCGUAAAACUCUGUUGUUAGAGAAGAACAAGGACGUUAGUAACUGAACGUCUCCUGACGGUAUCUAACCAGAAAGCCACGGCUAACUACGUG